UCCCGGGCCAUCGGGCGGCCGGUGCUCCGAACCCGGGUUCAAUCCACCGGGCGGGGGGUGCCCCGUCGUCGGCCUGUGUUUCUCGGGCCAGAGACCCAGCGCGUCCUCUCUCCUCCGUCUCUUUCCUAAGAGGGGACAGUUCACGUCCAAAAAUCACACGGAUUUUAAGUUGUUUCCCUUUUCUGCGAAUCUUAAAAUUUGUUUUACAAUAAUAAGCAUGUAUUAUUUUGAUAAACAGGAAACAAUCACAGUGGUGGGAAGAGCUUUAGGACUAGACCUAAACCCGGCUCUGGCCCACCACGUGUCCACUUGCCCCCACCGGGUCGCUCUCUCACCAAAGCAGACCUGAAUUAUUUUUCUGAAUACAUCUGAGACCUGAGGACAUUUUAUGGUUCUUCUUUUCACCCUCCCCCAGGAGGCUGGCUCAAUAAAAGACCCCGAUGAGGUAGUGCCUUAAGGAUAAUGUAGAUGCGGGGAAGGACAAAAACCGUGAUGUGCUGAAGAUACUCUAAGCAUGGACAAAAAGCAAAAAUUGAAUGGUGAGGAGAAUACGAAGCUAAGAGUGAAGAGAAUAAUGGAGCCGCUCAGGUUACCAGCAAGGAAGAGUUCUGUCCUGUGAUGUUCAGGCCUAAUUCACCCCCAACUGCAGUAGAAAAAGUAGUAAAGAGGACAGAGGAAAGAAAUGUGGACAACACCUGAAAGCUUGGCUGAUGGUUUCCUUCUGAGAGAUUGCUCACCCAACUUUUUGAAGAGUUUCUGACCUUUGGAAAAAGAUUUGCCUUCUUUUGCAGAGGAUCCAACUUGCAUGUGAGCAGCAUUCAAACAGAACUGGCGUGCCUGGCCAAAAGUGCCUUAGGUCUAGGUACAGGAAGCCUGUCCAAGAAGAUCUGAGGACCCUCUCCUGAGAAACUUCUGCAAAAAGGAGAAUCAGGAGCCAUGGACCUGCCCAGAAGGGAAGGCUCCACUGUAAACUGAGAGUUCUGAUGCCUCCUGCUCCUUCCCAGGAUUUGCACCUUGGGGUCUUGAGCCCGGACCCAGAAGGCAGGCACAUUGAAGGCUUCUUGAAAAAUAACAGUCACUCAGAUGCAAAGGGAUGAGACCAGGUAGUUUCAAAAAAGCAGAAUUGAAUCAUCAGCCUGGAUUAUAUAUAACCUAAUGAAAUGGAGAUUUAACCAACUAUGCAGUGCUAUGUGUAGAUUUUUUUUAUUUUUUAUUUUUAUUUUUUGCUAUGUGUAGAUUAAGAGUGUUCAUGAAGAAGGAAUUGUCUGUCGGUCACUAGCUGGGAGGUGGGAGAGGGGUGGUAGGGGGAGACGCAGAAGAGAGCGGAAACUACAGGUAGAACUCAGGCACUGAAGGUCAUCGGGACUGGGUUUAAAUUCUGGCUCAGCCGGGUGAUUUGGGCAGGCUCCUUAUCUGUAAAAUGGAUUUCUUGAUUAGACCCACUUUAUUGUGAAGAUUAAACAUGAUAGAUAAUUUAUGAACAGUGCUUACCACAGUGUUUGACACAUAGUAAGCACUCAGUACACCUUAACUGUUUCUAGUCAUUCAUUCUAAAAUUAAAUUAAGGGGACGCCUGGGUGGCUCAGUGGUUGAGUGUCUACCUUCAGCUCAGGUCAGGAUCCCAGGGUCAUGGGAGGGAGUCCCACAUCAGGUUCCCUGCUUCUCCUCCUGCCUAUGCCUCUCUCUCUCUCUCUCUCUCUCUCUCUCUCUCUCUCUCUCUCGUCUCUCAUGAACAAUCUUUUUAAAAAAUUAAAUCAAGAAGGGCUAUUCUAGGCCCAACAAAGUUUGUCCUAAGUACUUGUCAUCAAGGGAAGAAUGGCUCAUGAAGUUGGGUUCCUCCCACAAAUACAAAUGGGACAGGGUGGUGGGAGUGGCUAUAUAUCCAUUCCAAGGAAUUAUCGAUUUAAAUAUUCUUCUAAAAAUGUUGUCAGUGUUUGCAAGUAUGCAUUUUAAUUUAUAUCGUACAUUUAAUAAAAUCUGUUGUUGAAAAAAAUUUUAGUAACCAGUAUUGGCAAGGAUACGGAGAAUUGGUAUUUACAUACACUGUUAGUGGGAAUAGAGCAUAUAAUAAAUGUUUAGGUUCAUACCAAAUGCUUAUAGAAUUUGAAAAUCCGGGACGCCUGGGUGGCUCAAUGGUUGAGCGUCCGCCUUUGGCCCAGGGCGUGAUCCUGGGGACCUGGGAUCGAGUCCCACAUCGGGCUCCCUGCAUGGAGCCUGCUUCUCCCUCUGCUUGUGUCUCUGCCUCUC